UGGGGAAUUUUGGACAAUGGGCGCAAGCCUGAUCCAGCAAUGCCGCGUGCAGGAAGAAGGCCUUCGGGUUGUAAACUGCUUUUGUACGGAACGAAAAGGCUCUGGUUAAUACCUGGGGCACAUGACGGUACCGUAAGAAUAAGCACCGGCUAACUACGUGCCAGCAGCCGCGGUAAUACGUAGGGUGCAAGCGUUAAUCGGAAUUACUGGGCGUAAAGCGUGCGCAGGCGGUUUUGUAAGACAGGCGUGAAAUCCCCGGGCUUAACCUGGGAAUUGCGUUUGUGACUGCAAGGCUGGAGUGCGGCAGAGGGGGAUGGAAUUCCGCGUGUAGCAGUGAAAUGCGUAGAUAUGCGGAGGAACACCGAUGGCGAAGGCAAUCCCCUGGGCCUGCACUGACGCUCAUGCACGAAAGCGUGGGGAGCAAACAGGAUUAGAUACCCGAGUAGUCCCUGAGCGGGCUGGCAAGGCG
rnacentral:rRNA from 1 species